GAAAUGCGUAGAGAUGUGGAGGAACACCGAUGGCGAAGGCAGCCCCCUGGGAUGACACUGACACUCAUGUACGAAAGCGUGGGUAGCAAACAGGAUUAGAUACCCUGGUAGUCCACGCCCUAAACGAUGUCAACUGGUUGUUGGGGGAGUGAAAUCCCUUAGUAACGAAGCUAACGCGUGAAGUUGACCGCCUGGGGAGUACGGUCGCAAGAUUAAAACUCAAAGGAAUUGACGGGGACCCGCACAAGCGGUGGAUGAUGUGGAUUAAUUCGAUGCAACGCGAAAAACCUUACCUACCCUUGACAUGUCCGGAAUCCUGCAGAGAUGCGGGAGUGCCCGAAAGGGAAUCGGAACACAGGUGCUGCAUGGCUGUCGUCAGCUCGUGUCGUGAGAUGUUGGGUUAAGUCCCGCAACGAGCGCAACCCUUAUCAUUAGUCGCUACGCAAGGGCACUCUAAUGAGACUGCCGGUGACAAACCGGAGGAAGGUGGGGAUGACGUCAAGUCCUCAUGGCCCUUAUGGGUAGGGCUUCACACGUCAUACAAUGGUCGGUACAGAGGGUUGCCAAGCCGCGAGGUGGAGCCAAUCCCAGAAAGCCGAUCGUAGUCCGGAUUGUUCUCUGCAACUCGAGAGCAUGAAGUCGGAAUCGCUAGUAAUCGCGGAUCGGCAUGUCGCGGUGAAUACGUUCCCGGGUCUUGUACACACCGCCCGUCACACCAUGGGAGUGGAAUCUGGCAGAAGUAGGUAGCCUAACCGCAAGGAGGGCGCUUACCACGCUGGGUUUCAUGACUGGGGUGAAGU
rnacentral:rRNA from 1 species